rnacentral:rRNA from 1 species
AUUGAACGCUGGCGGCAUGCCUUACACAUGCAAGUCGAACGGCAGCACGGGGGCAACCCUGGUGGCGAGUGGCGAACGGGUGAGUAAUGCAUCGGAACGUGCCCAGUAGUGGGGGACAACCAGUCGAAAGAUUGGCUAAUACCGCAUACGACCUAUGGGUGAAAGCGGGGGACCGUAAGGCCUUGCGCUAUUGGAGCGGCCGAUGUCUGAUUAGCUAGUUGGUGAGGUAAAGGCUCACCAAGGCGACGAUCAGUAGCUGGUCUGAGAGGACGACCAGCCACACUGGGACUGAGACACGGCCCAGACUCCUACGGGAGGCAGCAGUGGGGAAUUUUGGACAAUGGGCGCAAGCCUGAUCCAGCCAUGCCGCGUGCGGGAAGAAGGCCUUCGGGUUGUAAACCGCUUUUGGCAGGAACGAAACGGCGCGGGCUAAUACCCAGCGUUAAUGACGGUACCUGCAGAAUAAGCACCGGCUAACCACGUGCCAGCAGCCGCGGUAACAC